UCCAACAGUGAGUGUCAGUAGCUGUCUGAAACACGGUGGAGGCUCUGUCAUGGUUUGGGCUGCAUCUCAGCCAGUGGUGUUUAUGAACACAGAAAAGUACCAUCAGAUUUUGAUCCAUCAUGCAGUACUAUCUGGAAAGGUUCUGAUUGACAGCAGCUUCAUUGUAUAGAAUGAAAAUGAUCCCAAACACACUGCCAGUGCAGUAAAAGCAUCCCUGGAUAGAAAAACACACAGUGGAAACUAUCAGUCAUGGACUGGCCUCCCCCGAGCCAGGACCUCAGCUUUACUGAAACAGUGUGAGAUCAUCGUCAGAGAGAACAGAACAAAAGGCUGAAACUGCUUAAAGCAAUGACAGAAAGCUGCCUCAGAGUUCAAGCUGUGCUGAAGGAUAAAGGAGGUCACACCAAAUACUGACUUUCAAGGUAUAAACCUCCUCCUAAUGAGGUGUACACAGAGUCCAGUCUGACAGUGAUGAAGAUCCAGCUGCCGACAGGUGUGGCUGCAUACCUGGAAGACCUGAAACAGUUCACGGACCCCAUGCAGCCGAUCAUCUCCCACUACGAGCUCCAGGGAAACACUGUGGUCAUUCAGAUGGACUCUGUGACUCUGCCUCAUCUAAUAUCAUGUAUAAAAAUAUAUCAAUAUUUCUUAAAAACUCAAUAUAUCGCCCAGCCCUAAACUGAGGUAGACUUUGUGUUAUUCAAAAUACUGCAGUUUAGUGCAGGAUAAACAGGUUACUGCGCUGUACUGUGGUGAAUGUGGUGAACAGUAAAGAUCCGUGUUGGUGGGCAACAGCUGUGGUGUUCAUGGUCAGAGUUACAGGUUACAUCAAGUGUUACAUUUUGUUGAAUUCAGUCAUGUAAACAGAGCAGCAGCUGAUCACAGCCUGACACAAAGAAAAUCUAGUGGCGCUCACAAUAGAAAUUAUUGUGCGUUUUAAUUCUUUACCCCAAUCUGAGCCACUGCAACUGAUCUUAAGGUCCCUCCACCUGCUGAAUCCCACUGUAACCCCUGACUGUACUCAUUUUCCUGUUCAGGUGAGGCAGAGUCACCCUCUACAAUGUAGGUAUCAGCAAAUAGAACUUUUUAAAAGUUCUCUUUUUUUUUCUCUGCUCAUGUUCUAUAUAACAGUGUUCUGGUUAAAUACAUUCAUUAGAAUUAGAACUUAGAAUGAAAUAAAGUUUGUAUUCUCAUGUAGUAAUCUUGUUUUGUUAUUACAGUAAUAUGGCACAAGGUUCAGUUUGCUUUCCACAAAAAUAGCUGGCAGAAAUGUCUUCCGAAGAGCUACUUUUACUUUCUUACUUUGAGUACAUUUUAGAGCCUGUACUUUUUUCACUUUUACUUGAGUAAAGAGUUUAAAUCAGUACUUCAACUUUUACUAGAGUAUUUUUUAAUACACAUAUCUGUACUGCUACUUAAGUACAGAAUGUGUGUACUUUUGCCACCCCUGCAUAUUUGCGUCUAACCUUUUGAACCUUUUUGAAGAAUUUUGGUAACAUGACCAAAAGUUGUGUCAUAACGCAAAGUUUGUUCAUGAUAGAAGGACAAUUCCAGAUCUAAUGAUCCGGAAUGCUGGAAACUAUAGGGUAAAAAAAAAAUUCACUCCUGUAGUAAGAAAUAAAUCAGUGACAACUAACACCAAAAUAUAGCUUAACAUGA